rnacentral:lncRNA from 1 species
GUGGCGUCUUCUUUAAUAGAGAGAUUAAAAAAAAUGCUAGGCCACCACUACCCAGUAAACAUUGCAGGGAAAAAAGCCCCCAAAACUGUGUGCAGUGUUUCUUGCCUGUUUUUUUUUCUUCUGUCUCCAAACAAAGAGAUCUGUGCUUGCUCCUGAAAGAAGGCAAAUAAAUACACUGCCCACAUACCCUGGUGGUUGUGAACCUCUUUCAGGAAGGCGGACCCCUAUGGCACUCCACCCCACCGCAGCCCUUCCCAUCUGUUCAGGCACCAAGUCCUGCCUCUGCGCCGGGUGAACAGGUCCUCCAAGUCCACGUUUACAUUCUCUUGUUUCCAGACCAUAGACGGACGGCGUUUCUGUCUCUGAUGGUCAAAAAUGAGGUUCAGGUAGAGAUGCUGGUGUCCCACAUCCUGUUGGUCUCGUCUCUCCGGGACUGUGGCCCUCCAGGAGAAAUUCCCUUCUGA